rnacentral:rRNA from 1 species
UACGGAGGGGGCUAGCGUUGUUCGGAAUUACUGGGCGUAAAGCGCACGUAGGCGGACCAGAAAGUUGGGGGUGAAAUCCCGGGGCUCAACCUCGGAACUGCCUUCAAAACUAUUGGUCUGGAGUUCGAGAGAGGUGAGUGGAAUUCCGAGUGUAGAGGUGAAAUUCGUAGAUAUUCGGAGGAACACCAGUGGCGAAGGCGGCUCACUGGCUCGAUACUGACGCUGAGGUGCGAAAGCGUGGGGAGCAAACAG